CCUACGGGGCGCAGCAGUGAGGAAUAUUGGUCAAUGGCCGCAGGGCUGAACCAGCCAAGUCGCGUGAGGGAUGACGGUUCUAUGGAUUGUAAACCUCUUUUGUCAGGGAGAAAAGGGCGCCACGUGUGGCGUUUUGCGAGUACCUUAAGAAAAAGCAUCGGCUAACUCCGUGCCAGCAGCCGCGGUAAUACGGAGGAUUCGAGCGUUAUCCGGAUUUAUUGGGUUUAAAGGGUGCGCAGGCGGAAUGUCAAGUCAGCGGUAAAAUUUCGGGGCUCAACCCCGUCGUGCCGUUGAAACUGGUGUUCUUGAGUGGGCGAGAGGUAUGCGGAAUGCGUGGUGUAGCGGUGAAAUGCAUAGAGAUCACGCAGAACUCCGAUUGCGAAGGCAGCAUACCAACUCACAACUGACGCUCAUGCACGAAAGCGUGGGUAUCAAACAGGAUUAGAUACCCUAGUAGUC
rnacentral:rRNA from 1 species